rnacentral:rRNA from 1 species
GCCGAAAGGCUGAACCAGUAACUUGGAAGAAUGUAACUGUAUUUGUAUAAAUACAAUAGCGAUUAAUUCGCAUAAAAUUCUAAAUAGAUUGUAUAUAAUGACAUAAUCUAUUUAUAAGUCUUGACCAAACUACGUGCCAGCAGUCGCGGUAAUACGUAGGAGGCUAGUGUUAGUUAUCUUUAUUGGGUUUAAAGGGUAUGUAGACGGUAAAUUAAACUUUAAAAAAGUACUUUUUUACUAGAGUUAUAUGUGAGAAGGAAGAAUUCUUGGAGUAGAGAUAGAAUUUGUUGAUACCAAGAGGACUGUCAACGGCGAAGGCGUCCUUCUAUGUAAUAACUGACGUUGAGAGACGAAGGCUUGGGUAGCAAACAGGAUUAGAUACCCUAAUAGUCCAAGCAGACAAUGAUGAAUGUCAUACAUUAGAUAAUUUUAAUGUAUAAACGAAAGUGUAAGCAUUCCACCUCAAGAGUACUAUGGCAACAUAUAAACUGAAAUCAUUAGACCGUUUCUGAAACCAGUAGUGAAGUAU